AGUGAACGCUGGCGGUAGGCCUAACACAUGCAAGUCGAACGGCAGCACAGUAAGAGCUUGCUCUUACGGGUGGCGAGUGGCGGACGGGUGAGGAAUACAUCGGAAUCUACUUUUUCGUGGGGGAUAACGUAGGGAAACUUACGCUAAUACCGCAUACGACCUACGGGUGAAAGUAGGGGAUCUUCGGACCUUGCGCGAUUGAAUGAGCCGAUGUCGGAUUAGCUAGUUGGCGGGGUAAAGGCCCACCAAGGCGACGAUCCGUAGCUGGUCUGAGAGGAUGAUCAGCCACACUGGAACUGAGACACGGUCCAGACUCCUACGGGAGGCAGCAGUGGGGAAUAUUGGACAAUGGGCGCAAGCCUGAUCCAGCCAUACCGCGUGGGUGGAGAAGGCCUUCGGGUUGUAAAGCCCUUUUGUUGGGAAAGAAAAGCAGCAGGUUAAUACCCCGCUGUUCUGACAGUACCCAAAGAAUAAGCACCGGCUAACUUCGUG
rnacentral:rRNA from 1 species